GCCUAAAGCGUCCGUAGCCUGCUUUGUAAGUUUCCGGUUAAAUCCAUUAGCUCAACUAAUGGGCCGCCGGAAAAACUGCAAAGCUAGGGAGUGGGAGAGGUAGACGGUACUCGGUAGGAAGGGGUAAAAUCCUUUGAUCUAUUGAUGACCACCUGUGGCGAAGGCGGUCUACCAGAACACGUUCGACGGUGAGGGAUGAAAGCUGGGGGAGCAAACCGGAUUAGAUACCCGGGUAGUCCCAGCUGUAAACUAUGCAAACUCAGUGAUGCAUUGGCUUGUGGCCAGUGCAGUGCCGCAGAGAAGCCGUUAAGUUUGCCGCCUGGGAAGUACGUACGCAAGUAUGAAACUUAAAGGAAUUGGCGGGGGAGCACCACAAGGGGUGAAGCCUGCGGUUCAAUUGGAGUCAACGCCAGAAAUCUUACCCGGAGAGACAGCAGAAUGAAGGUCAAGCUGAAGACUUUACCAGACAAGCUGAGAGGUGGUGCAUGGCCGUCGCCAGCUCGUGCCGUGAGAUGUCCUGUUAAGUCAGGUAACGAGCGAGAUCCCUGCCUCUAGUUGCCACCAUUACUCUCAGGAGUAGUGGGGCGAAUUAGCGGGACCGCCGCAGUUAAUGUGGAGGAAGGAAGGGGCCACGGCAGGUCAGUAUGCCCCGA
rnacentral:rRNA from 1 species